GGUUGUAAAAGGAUUGGACAAUUUCUUGUUUAAACUUGUCAUCUUGCGAGCUGUGAAAGAUCAUAGUGGAAAUGUCUGGAGAAGAAAACCAACUGAUAUGUAUGUUGUUGAAAUUACAACAGACAAGUCGUUUGAAUCAUUAACAGCCGAGGAUGCUGUAUCAGAUGGGAACUACAAUCAGGUAAGCAUUCACUGGUGACUUAUACAUGUAUCCACUUUGCAAGACGUUUCCAGUUUCCACAGCCAAACAAUUCACUGGAAAAAAUUGAAAAUCCACAGAAGGCCAUAGAAUGGAAAUUGUAUCGAUUUUCGUUGGAUAUAGGAUGGAUUUUGAUUAUCCAUAAUAAUUUUAUAUUUCCAUACUAUAGAUAGAGUAUCGAAAUAGUAUGGAUAUACUAUGGAUUUAGUGGUGCAAUUGCAAAUUUCACAGUAUGGAUUUCAUAUUUUUUGCCAGUGAUUGACUGGCGUAGUAAAUGUGUAUUGUAUAACCGCUUAUAAAAUUUGUAGAAAAUGUUCUUCAGUAAAUUGAAAAUUUUUUUUGCCCUUUCUGGUUUAAAAUAUUUCACAAGCUUUCGACUACCAAACUGCAGUCUGCAAUAGUAAUACAAGAGAUAACUUACAACAGUUUACAAUUAACGCGUUCUACGAUUAGGUUGCAUAUUAUAUUUAAUGAGAUUCUGAGAGUAUUUACACAUUUAGGUAAUUUUUUUCUGAAAGCGGAAAAAAUCGGUUUCCGUAUAUAUGACAAAAUUAUACAUUAUUUUUUCAAAAAUAAUCUGGAAAUAUACCGGUUUUGCUAAAAGUGAACCACAAUCAACAAAUUUGCAUAAGAAUACUCAAAUUGAAAACUUUAUUCAGUGUGUAACUUUUUACAAUAGAAACCAAUCCUAAAAAUUCGCAAUUUUUUUUUAAAUCAUAGCUAAAUUCAAACAAAAUAACUCAUUUUGCGUUUCCAAAAAAAUGGAUUUGGAUGUGUCCAAAACCAAUCCUAGAGAAAUUCAAACAAAAUAACUUGUUUGAACCAUCCAAAUCCAUUUUUUAUAAUUCCUCAGAUGAUUUACUUUUUAAAAAUUAUUGGUUUCGGAUGCAUUAUAGAAAUGGAUUCGGAUGUAUCCAAAAGCAACUAUAGAUAAAUUUAAACAAUACAACUCAUUUGAGCGCUUACAAAAAUGGAUUUUGAUGCGAAAAAUUUGGAUGCGUCCAAAACCAAUCCUAGCUAAAUUCAAACAAAUUGGCUCAUACAACCCAAUUUAAAUAAUCUUGGUUUCACUUGAAACAUAUUUUAAAUAUCCCUUAAAUGUACAUGUCUAUUUCAGACAUAAAUCAAUAAAGUAAUAUAAAAUUGCAUUCCCUGAAUGCGUUGCAUGUUAAUAUUUUUUGCAGAAUACGAGAAAACGACUUGCAACAAACAAGUACUCGUUUGUAAAAUUUCUUCCUCGAACACAUUGCCUAACACCCAGAGAAACUUUGGACAACAUACAGCAGAACAGGAAAGG